rnacentral:lncRNA from 1 species
AUGACUCGACAGUUGGGGCCAAGCCAGGCAGGAGCACGAAAUUCAGGGUCUCGUGGGGUAACACAAAAAUAUUUCCCGACAAUUUGCGGUGAAUGUCUUAGCCGCCCAUGGACAGGAGAAUCCGCCUAUCAAAUGGAGAAAGAUCCAGGUCUGGGGGAUUUUUCCCAUUUUGUCCAUCUAUACCAAUCAAGCAGGUUAAAGGAGCCACACCAGGUCCUGUGGGAUGAGGGUGGAAGCAGCCUCCCCCCUGGGAACCACGCCCUGGUCUCUCAUUCCUUUUACCAUUUAUCCAACAAACACCUAUCGAGAGUGUGUUGUACGUAUCAGGCCGACGGAAAAUGCUAUCGGCACGAGAGCGGCAACCAGCUUCCUGCGGUCAUGAUGCCGAUGCAGUUUCAUCCUGAUAAAGGAGAAAGACAAAAGAAAAACCCAGGCUCGGCAAGCUUUGGGGCCGAGGAUGGGGAGACGCAGCGAUUGAUGACCCACUCCCUGAGAAACAGGACCAGGGUGUGCGACUCGUGAUGCGAGCAAAGUGUGUGAGGGUCAUUGCCAUUUUCAAGAAGGAACAAGUAGCCCCUGGCCCGUGCCAUGUGAGGUGCUGCCUGGAGUGGGUUCUACGGUCCUGCUCCUCAGGCAGCUGUUCGGCAAAUGCUCAUCAGGACAGUAUGGCAGAGGAUGCUAAGUGAGGACUCUGGACCUGGAAUCCCCAGUGGCUCACUGGGCAGCGUUGGACUAGUCAGUCACUGUCUCUGGGCUUCUGGUUCCUCCCAGGCUUCUUGUCCAGAUUAGAGAGUGACCAUGGGAGUGCUUGGGUGGCUCAGUCAGCUGGGCAUCUGCCUUCAGCUCGGAGCAGGAUCCCGGGGUUCUGGGAUCAAGCCCCACGUCGGGCUCCCUGCUCAGCGAGGAGUCUGCUUCUCCCUCUCCCUCUGCCCCUGCCCCCCACUCAUGCUGUCUCCCUCUCCCCCUCUCUCAAAUAAAUAAAUAAAUAAAUAAAAAGAAAAAAAAAGA